AGAGUUUGAUCCUGGCUCAGAACGAACGUUGAUGGCGUGCCUCAUACAUGCAAGUCGAGCGCCCCGCAAGGGGAGCGGCGAACGGGUGAGUAACACGUAAAGAAUCUGCCCGAAAGUGGGGAAUAACUAUUCCAACGGAUAGCUAAUACCGCAUAAGGAUGGAGGGGGCAUCCCCUCUUCUCAAAAGGCUUCGGCCGCUU
rnacentral:rRNA from 1 species